CGGACGGGUGAGUAACACGUGGAUAACCUACCUAUAAGACUGGGAUAACUUCGGGAAACCGGAGCUAAUACCGGAUAAUAUUUUGAACCGCAUGGUUCAAAAGUGAAAGACGGUCUUGCUGUCACUUAUAGAUGGAUCCGCGCUGCAUUAGCUAGUUGGUAAGGUAACGGCUUACCAAGGCAACGAUGCAUAGCCGACCUGAGAGGUGAUCGGCCACACUGGAACUGAGACACGGUCCAGACUCCUACGGGAGGCAGCAGGG
rnacentral:rRNA from 1 species